rnacentral:rRNA from 1 species
UUAAAAUUAGAUUAUUAAUUUUUAAUAGAUUUAUAUUUUUUAUAAUAAAAAUAAUUUUAAUAUAGUAUGUUAUUGUAUUUUUUGUGGAUUAAAUAAUUUUAAUAAUAAUAAAUUUGUAUAGUGAUAGAUAUUUGAAAUAAUAUAUUUUUAUUUUUAAAGUAAAUUUAAUUUAUUGUACCUUUUGUAUCAGGGUUUAUUAAAUAAUAUUUUUAUUUAAAAAUUUCUCGAAUUUAAAAGAAUUAAAAUUAUAAUAAAUAUAUUGUGAUAAAAAUAUUUUUAAUAUAAUUUUAGUAAUGAAAUGUUAAUCGUUUUUAAAUAUAUCUAGUUUUUUAAGAAAUGAAUUUAAUUCAUAUAUUUAAUUAAAUUAAUUUAAUUUAAAAAAUUAAUUUAUUUAAAUAUAAAAAUUUAUGGGGAUGAGCUUAUAAAUUUUAACUUAUAAAUAAUUUAUUGUAAAUUAAUAAAAUUAAUAGGAUUAGAAAUUUUCAUUUUUAAUUAAAAUGUUAUAAUUAAUUUUAUAUUAAUAUUAAUUUAUUUUAUUUUUAGUUAAUUAUUAAAAAAAAUAAAUUGAAUAAUUAAUUUAUGUUAUAAUGAUAAAAUUAGUAUUAAUUUAUUUAUAAUAUAUAAAUUUUAUAAAGAUUAAAAUAAGGAAUUCAGCAAAUAUUAUACUCACCUGUUUAUCAAAAACAUGUCUUUUUGAAAAUAAUUUAAAGUCUAACCUGCCCACUGAUUUUAUAUUUAAAGGCCGCAGUAUUUUGACUGUGCAAAGGUAGCAUAAUCAUUUGUCUUUUAAUUGAAGGCUGGAAUGAAUGGUUGAAUGAAGUAUAAACUGUCUCAUUUUAAUAAAUUAAGAAUUUAGCUUUUAAAUUAAAAGGUUUAAAUAAAAUUAAAAGACGAGAAGACCCUAUAGAUUUUUAUAAUAUUUAUAAUUAUAAUUUAAAGAAUUUAAUAAAUUUUAUUAUUAUAAUUAUUAUUUAAUUGGGGUGAUUGAAAAAUUUAAUAAACUUUUUUUAUUUUAAAACAUUGAUUUAUGAAUAAAUGAUCCAAUUUUAUUGAUUAUAAGUUUAAAUUACCUUAGGGAUAACAGCGUAAUUUUUUUAGAGAGUUCUUAUCGAUAAAAAAGAUUGCGACCUCGAUGUUGAAUUAAAGGUUAUUUUUAAAUGUAGAAGUUUAAAGUUUAGGUCUGUUCGACCUUUGAAUCUUUACAUGAUUUGAGUUCAGACCGGCGUAAGCCAGGUCGGUUUCUAUCUUUAAUAAAUUAUAAUAUUUUAGUACGAAAGGACCAAAUAUUUAAAUAAAAUUUUCAUAAUUGAAUAUUAUUAAUAAUUAA